rnacentral:rRNA from 1 species
GAUGAACGCUGGCGGCGUGCCUAAUACAUGCAAGUCGAGCGAACAGACGAGGAGCUUGCUCCUCUGACGUUAGCGGCGGACGGGUGAGUAACACGUGGAUAACCUACCUAUAAGACUGGGAUAACUUCGGGAAACCGGAGCUAAUACCGGAUAAUAUAUUGAACCGCAUGGUUCAAUAGUGAAAGACGGUUUUGCUGUCACUUAUAGAUGGAUCCGCGCCGCAUUAGCUAGUUGGUAAGGUAACGGCUUACCAAGGCAACGAUGCGUAGCCGACCUGAGAGGCUGAUCGGCCACACUGGAACUGAGACACGGUCAAGACUCCUACAGGAGGCAGCAGUAGGGAAUCUUCCGCAAUGGGCGAAAGCCUGACGGAGCAACGCCGCGUGAGUGAUGAAGGUCUUCGGAUCGUAAAACUCUGUUAUUAGGGAAGAACCAAUGUGUAAGUAAAUAUGCACGUCUUGACGGUACCUAAUCAGAAAGCCACGGCUAACUACGUG